UGUCUAUCCCUCCCCACCCCGCAUGGUGUGUGCGUACGCGUGCUCUCUCUCCCUCAAAAUAAACGUUUAAAAAAUUAUUUUCCUUUACAUAACUGAACUUACUUUUAACUGAGUUUUAAAAACAUAUAAUCAAGGAAAAGGAAAAUAAAGAGGAAGGUGCCUACUCAUAAACAUGAAGAAUUAGAUUUAAAUUAUCUUUAUGUAAUAACAUUUCUGCCACAUUUAAAAAAAUCUAGCAAAGAAAGGUAAAGGCAGAUGUCAUUUUUACCAGUGUUCUAGUAUUAUAACAAACUAUUUAGGGGGCAAGCCUAAGAUAGAUCAGUAUUACAAUAUAUAAAAAUGACAAAAUACAUUUAUUUCAGAAGAAAAUAAAGAUUUCUAUAUCCAUCGCAUUCAUUCUUUGCAUCUCUCAAUGAUAUUUAGGACUUCUUUAACAAAGCGCUAUAUAAACAUUGAUUCGUGUCUUUAUGUUCCUAAUGUGACCUCAAUUAAAAUCCUCGGAUAACCAUCAAACCAAAAUUCCAGAAACACUCAUCUAUUGUGUGUAUGUGUGUGUGUGUAUGUGUGUGUGUGUGUGUGUGUGUACGCACAAGCAUCCUUGGAAGAGACAGAUCAAUUUUGUUAACAGUCUUUGAAAAACACCUUCUAAAAUUACAGAACUUGUAAAGUACUAACUUGUUAUCUUACUACACUUGACGGAAACAAAAGGCUAUCUUUAUUAUAACAAGAGAAAAAUGUAUACUAACACUAAACACUGUCUAUUAAGGAUUUCAUUGAAAAUGUUUGUUAAAUCAUAUACUAUCUCCUUUUACCAUGUAAUCUAUAGCCAUGGUAUUUUAAAAAGUGAGCAAUUAAUUCAGGAUUUCAGGGUGAAAGAAAGCUCAAUGAAAGCUUUCCGUCAAUUUCAUUCUCUAGUGAAACACGCAGUUCCCGUAGAGAGCCCAGCAAAGCAAUGUUAGCUAAUCUUUUCUAUGUAGCAAAUAUCAACUCUAGUGUUGAGCUGGCAAUUUAUAACAUAUGUAGGACACCCAAGGUCAUUCAAUCCAUGAUUUAUUUAUAAGUUAACAAGCCUUCACACAUAAAUACCAUGAAGCACUUUUACCCAAUAAAUAGUACUCUCCCAUUGCCUCUGUUCUACAAGACAAUCAGAAUAUAAGCUUUUUGCCAACUGCCCAACUACUUGCUAUCUAUAACGCUAAUGGAAAUAAUUUAUGGAAAACUGUUCUAUUUUAAUAAAACUUUUAGAAUUAAACCGUAGGCUGUAAAAAAUAAGCAACU